GACGAACGCUGGCGGCGUGCUUAACACAUGCAAGUCGAACGAAGUGGCGAACGGGUGAGUAACGCGUAAACAACCUGCCCAUCAGAGGGGGACAACAGUUGGAAACGACUGCUAAUACCGCAUACUGAAGGAGGACAUUGCGUCUGAUUAGCUAGUUGGAGGGGUAACGGCCCACCAAGGCGAUGAUCAGUAGCCGGUCGGAGAGGAGGAACGGCACCAGUGGGGCUGAGACCCGGCCCAGAAUCCUACGGGAGGCAGCAGUGGGGAAGCUUCCGCAAUGGAAGAAAGUCUGACGGAGCAACGCCGCGUGAGUGAUGACGGCCUUCGGGUUGUAAAGCUCUGUUAAUCGGGACGCGGUACCGGAAUAGAAAGUCACGGCUAACUACGUGCCAGCAGCCGCGGUAAUUC
rnacentral:rRNA from 1 species